rnacentral:rRNA from 1 species
AGCAGCCGCGGUAAUUCCAGCUCCAAUAGCGUAUAUUAAAGUUGUUGCAGUUAAAAAGCUCGUAGUUGAAUUUCGGGAUCAAUGCGUCGGUCGUGCUUUCGGGUACGUACUGGUGUCAUUGGUUUCUCCUUUCUGACGAGCCGUGAUGUCAUUAAUUUGGUGUUACGGGUAGUUAGGACUGUUACUUUGAAAAAAUUAGAGUGUUUAAAGCAGGCUCACGCUUGAAUACAUUAGCAUGGAAUAAUGAAAUAGGACGUAUGAUCCUAUUUUGUUGGUUUCUAGGAUUGACGUAAUGAUUAAUAGGGAUAGUUGGGGGGCAUUAGUAUUCAAUUGUCAGAGGUGAAAUUCUUGGAUUUAUUGAAGACUAACUACUGCGAAAGCAUUUGCCAAGGAUGUUUUCAUUAAUCAAGAACGAAAGUUAGGGGAUCGAAGACGAUCAGAUACCGUCGUAGUCUUAACCAUAAACUAUGCCGACUAGGGAUCGGAUGAUGUUAAUUUUUUUAAUGACUCAUUCGGCGCC